AUACAGAGGGUGCGAGCGUUAAUCGGAAUUACUGGGCGUAAAGCGCGCGUAGGCGGCUGAUUAAGUCAGAUGUGAAAUCCCAGGGCUCAACCUUGGAACUGCAUCUGAUACUGGUCAGCUAGAGUUUAGGAGGGGGAAGUAGAAUUUCAGGUGUAGCGGUGAAAUGCAUAAAUAUCUGAAGGAAUACCAGUGGCGAAGGCGGCUUCCUGGCCUAAAACUGACGCUGAGGUGCGAAAGCGUGGGUAGCAAACGGGAUUAGAAACCCGAGUAGUCC
rnacentral:rRNA from 1 species